GACAGUUAAGAGAACCCAGUGAAGAAACCUUUUGCAGAGAGAGAAAAGAACCCUUUUGAAUGUGAUCAAUCACGCUGAUUUAUUUGGAUGAUUUCUCUUCUGGAUUUCCUUAAACCAGGGAAAACCCAGAGACAGAGGUCUUGCUAUGUUGCCCAGGCUGGUCUCAAGCUCCUGGCCUCAAGCGAUUCUCCUUCCUCAGCCUCCAAAAGUGCUGGGAUUACAGGCCACAAAAUGCAUGGCACAGGGAAGGGUUUGACAACUUUUUGAUGGAUGAACAAAGAAGAUUCAAGCCACUUGUCAACAAGCUCAAAGUGAUUGAAAGUGGAAGCAUUUACCCACACGCUCAUGCAGAAAAUGACAGGAAAUCAUCCAGAGACACUUGUGACAGAGAUGAGAACUGUCACUGUUGAGAGGUGCUGCGGAGAUGGGUGUCCACGGAUGACCGUUCGGAGGCCGACUUCGGGGAUGUGGCCCCAUUAGCUCAAGAGUGGGUGACUCCCUACCACACUGAUGGCGUUGGCCAGGACAGGACAAGCCUACUGCAGUGACACAGUGUCACUGAUCCCUGAUGCCCACGUGGGUGUUUUACUUUAGCUAAUGCUGCAGAGAUAAUGCAGACAGAGAAAUGAGGCCCCAGCGCUGAGCAGCCCAAUCACCUGGUUGUAAGCAGCGAGUGUUUCUGGCUCUGCUCCUGGGCCCCAAACCACUGUGGGCUCACGAAGAAUCUUUCAGAGUUGGAGUCAGAAUGUCAGGGUUUGAGUGUAGUCUCCACCCCUUAAUGACCUUGCAUUGAUAAUUCUAUUCCCCGAGCCUCAUUUUACCCAUCUAUAAAAUGAGGACAAAUAGUUUAUUUCCUGGUUACUUCACUAAGAUGUUGUAUCAAAAAAGAAUAUAUGCAAUAAAA
ensembl:lncRNA novel transcript